UAUACCAAGGACAGUUUUAGAAGAGAGGAAGAGAAAAGAAUGAAAAAAUUGAUGUCUUGGAAUGGGGGAAGAGCUCUCUAUUUAUAGAGCUAGGAAAGAAUAAAAUAAAUAAAAGAAAUUAAAACCAACAAAUAAUUUGACCGUUGCAGCACUUAAAAAUUUGGUUGUUGGAAUAUUACCGUUGGAGCACAUUAUUGGCAAUUAAAGUUUUGAAAGUUGUAAUCCAACGUUUUCUUUUGCAAUAAUAUAAUCAUUAUUACAACAAUCCCCC
rnacentral:lncRNA from 1 species